rnacentral:snoRNA from 1 species
UGGACCACUGAGGAGAUUGUGAGAUGAACCAAGGAUUAUUAUUAAUCCAAUUCUAUGCGUCGGAGGUCGUG